UGGGGAAUAUUGCACAAUGGGCGCAAGCCUGAUGCAGCCAUGCCGCGUGUGUGAAGAAGGCCUUCGGGUUGUAAAGCACUUUCAGCGAGGAGGAAGGUGGUGGACUUAAUACGUUCAUCAAUUGACGUUACUCGCAGAAGAAGCACCGGCUAACUCCGUGCCAGCAGCCGCGGUAAUACGGAGGGUGCAAGCGUUAAUCGGAAUUACUGGGCGUAAAGCGCACGCAGGCGGUUUGUUAAGUCAGAUGUGAAAUCCCCGGGCUCAACCUGGGAACUGCAUUUGAAACUGGCAAGCUAGAGUCUCGUAGAGGGGGGUAGAAUUCCAGGUGUAGCGGUGAAAUGCGUAGAGAUCUGGAGGAAUACCGGUGGCGAAGGCGGCCCCCUGGACGAAGACUGACGCUCAGGUGCGAAAAGCGUGGGGAGCAAAACAGGAUUAGAUACCCUGGUAGUCCACGCUGUAAAACGAUGUCGAUUUUGGAGGUUGUGCCCUUGAGGCGUGGCUUCCGGAGCUAACGCGUUAAAUCGACCGCCUGGGGAGUACGGCCGCAAGGUU
rnacentral:rRNA from 1 species